GCCCUACCUAGACUGGCUUGUGCCCAUAGAAUUUAUACUUCUACAAUGAUUUACUCAAGAGCUAGAUGUAAGACUCAGCAUGCUAUACCUGGUCUGUCUGGGCUGUAUAUUGUACAUAAACCUUCAGUGAGGAUGUGCAGGGGGUAGGAGUUUUCACUUCAUCCAUCUGAACCCAAAAGGUAUCUUGGUUUGGAAAACAAGCUGACCUAUGGAGCUGCAUCUAGAAAGGGACAAAGCCUGCUGGUUGGAUCAAUUUCACCGAGUAGAACCUGUGAAAGCAGCACCACUUCUUGGAUGCAUCUUCAGUGGUGCUCACUGCAGGUAAACAAGAACAAUGCUGUUAAAUUAUUUUUAAUAAGCAAAAUAUAAAAUGACUUGCAUUUGGAGAAUACCACCCAGUGAGCUUAGUGGCAGAUUUUUGUCAGUUUGCCUGAAUUUGCUCAUUCCUAGAAGUUAGCUCAUUAAAAUAUU